GGUUUAGGAUGCAGAGUCGGGUGGGAYGGGUUCUGAAUUAGUUUGGACAAAGUAGAGAUUUUUGUAUCUUUGUUGACUUAUGGCAGUGUGUCAUGUUGGACUCGCCAUGAUGAAGGAAAGAAAAAAGGUGUAGAUCACGUCACAAGGCUGAUGUCCUGGUGUCUGGCUCACGGUAAAGAAGGAGGAGAAGUGGGAAGUGAGGGGAUGCACCUCUGACCUGUGUCUGGCUGCAGCUUCCCACACAGCCCACCCCUGCUCCCUGCAUUGUUUUACACCUUUUUUUUCCUUUUUCUCCCCCUGGCUGUGCAUUCUUCUCUGUUCCUCCUCAUCCUUGGCUCAGAGGAGAUAACAAAAGGUGCAGUCGGUGGCAGACGGACCAACGAACUCACAGUUGUACAUCAGGUGGYGCGGCAGCCUUCAUUUUGCCUGGCAUUUCCUGCAGAGAAAAAGACAGUCGGAGACAUCAUCUCACUGCUUUUGUGCUUUGUAUAGUUGUUUUUAUCUAAAGKGGAGGAGUUGUGUUGUGAGUCAGCGGUUUGGCUGCUUAGUACUUAGUUAAAAAGCGACUURGGAAUGUUUUUAAUUUGAAUCUCUUAUUAUUCAUUAAGCUUUUUUACAUCAGUUAAUGUUCAGUUUCGUAGCUUGGAGCUGCUCGGCAUUAUUUUUAACUAGAAAGUGUUUUAUGUCCGAACAAAGCUCGUCACCUUUGACUGGUAACUUGCUACAGUUCGGCUGGUUGAAGUAAUAGAAAGUGAAAUGGGGGACUUAGUUUUGUAGGCAGAUUGCAAAAUAAACUUGCUCAUUUCUGAUGAUGAUUUAUUGAAAAGCCUUUUUAGGUGGAAUUUUACUUGUUUGUUUAUUGUUGUUUUUUUUUUUAGCUGAGCUGCCCACAGAGCAUAGAUAGAUUUCUCUUUUUUUUUGGUGGACGGUACUGUGAAUAAAAACUGAACCUGUUCGGGCUUUUGCCACUCUCUGAGGCAGCUCUCAGGAAGACUCGGUCCAGCAGACGGAUCCCGGUCCAGCUGUUUUAGCAGGGAGAAGUGUCGACUGAUGUUCAGCUGAAGCUCUUUAGGACAAAGAAGCUGGCCUGGCUGCCUGACUGAAGGAGGGCUUUCCCUUCUCCAGCACAAAGUGGUGACAGCCCUCUGACUGGGACCUCCAUCUUUUCACACACCAACCUAAGAAGGAGGGAGGUGCAGAGGAAUGAGCAGCACUGCAGGAGAGGAUGGAAGAAAAGAUGAAGCAGGAUGGAGUGGACAUCAACAGUGACCCAGCUGUGGCAAAACGUCCAUCUGCUGAGAAUGAGCAGGAGAGCAACAACCACAGAUGCAAGGACACAACUGAAGGUUUACAAAAGGAAUGGAUUAAACGGAAGGAGAAAAACUCUUCGUGUUCCUUAUUCCCUCAUCCCUCAAAGAAUGACCACACCAUUGGUGGAUGUGGUCCUUGGCCCAGCCUGAUGCAUUUUUAAAAUGCGUGACAUUGCCUCUGUGGGAGUGUGUGAACCAAGCUUCCUCAAUAGUAGGGUCCCCAUACCCGGUCUGUGACCAUGGAAACAGAUGCCUGGCCUCCCGGCCCUUCUUACCUCCUGUUGAUCGUGGGCUGUGAGCUGCUCGGCCAGUGAAAGGGGGCUGCGCCCUCCUUUCUCCUCGCUCUGACUGAACUUGCCCUGAUCCUCAAAAGGAACCAUUGAACAGGUCUAGACUUUCUUUGCACGGUCCAUGGAGAAGCCUUGAUGUUACCCUUGCUCUUCUUUCUCUCUUCCUUUUUCUGUCUGCCUGCCACACCAGGCGCCCAGUGACUGCAGACUCCAGAUGGGUAGGGACACUGGAGACUUGGAUUUGAAAAGGAGCCCAUCUCAUUUUGCCAUUGUGCCUUUUCAUUCAUCGAUCACAUGAAUAUCGAACCUUCUGUGUGAAACUGAAAGUUCAGGUUCAUGUUUGAGGCCCAGAGCUAAAACUGCUUGUGAGUGUUGUUUUUAAUAAAAAAACCUAACUUCCCA